CAGUCGCCGCGGGAAUACGUAGGUGGCAAGCGUUGUCCGGAAUUAUUGGGCGUAAAGGGCUCGCAGGCGGUUUCUUAAGUCUGAUGUGAAGGCCCCCGGCUCAACCGGGGAGGGUCAUUGGAAACUGGGAAACUUGAGUGCAGAAGAGGAGAGUGGAAUUCCACGUGUAGCGGUGAAAUGCGUAGAGAUGUGGAGGAACACCAGUGGCGAAGGCGACUCUCUGGUCUGUAACUGACGCUGAGGAGCGAAAGCGUGGGGAGCGAACAGGAUUAGAUACCCCGGUAGUCCCUGUCUCUUAUAA
rnacentral:rRNA from 1 species